rnacentral:rRNA from 1 species
GACGAACGCUGGCGGCGUGCUUAACACAUGCAAGUCGAACGAUGAAGGAGAGCUUGCUCUCCGGAUUAGUGGCGAACGGGUGAGUAACACGUGACUAACCUGCCCCUUUCUCUGGGAUAACGCUCCGAAAGGAGUGCUAAUACCGGAUACGAACUCUGAACACAUGUUCGGAGUUGGAAAGUUUUUCGAAAAGGGAUGGAGUCGCGGCCUAUCAGCUUGUUGGUGAGGUAACGGCUCACCAAGGCGACGACGGGUAGCCGGCCUGAGAGGGCGACCGGCAACACUGGGACUGAGACACGGCCCAGACUCCUACGGGAGGCAGCAGUGGGGAAUAUUGCACGAUGGGCGCAAGCCUGAUGCAGCGACGCCGCGUGAGGGAUGAAGGUCUUCGGAUUGUAAACCUCUUUCAGUAGGGACGAAGCGAAAGUGACGGUACCUAAAGAAGAAGCACCGGCUAACUACGUGCCAGCCGCCGCCGUAA